rnacentral:rRNA from 1 species
UGCAGUAUAGAUCCCCACGCGAGAUUAAUGAGCAUCAGAGAUGGCGGCCAUGGACUGACCGCCAGUCUUACUGAAGCAUAUUGGAUUGCCAAUGGCGGACUCGAUGCAGCACGCCGCGGAGAGAGUAUUUCGUAUGUAAAGUCUAUCAGCAGCAGAUAAUGACAGUACAUGAAUAAGAAGCCAGCUAACACGGCAGCAUGCCGCCGUAAUACGUAGGGGCAAGCGUCAUCUGAUCUACUGUGUAAAGGAGCGUAGUCGCGAGCAGUAGACAGUGAAAUCCGGGACUCACUCCCGAAGUGCUUUGGAAUCUGAUAUGUUAGAGUGUCGGAGUAGGUAAGUGGAAUUCCUGAUGUAGCUGUGAAAUGCGUAGAUAUCAGGAAGAACACCGGAGGAGUAUGCGGCAUGUCUGGUCGAUAACUGAAGUUGAGGCUCGAAAGCGUGGGAAGCAAACAGGAUUAGAUACCCUGGUAGUGCACGCAGUAAACGAUGAAUACUAGGUGUCGGGGGGCGAAGCCCUUCGGUGCCGUCGCAAACGCAAUAAGUAUUCCACCUGGGGAGUACGUUCGCAAGAAUGAAACUCGAAGGAAUUGACGGGGACCCGCACAAGCGGUGGAGCAUGUGGUUUAAUUCGAAGCAACGCGAAGAACCUUACCAAGUCUUGACAUCCCAUUGACAGAGCAUGUAAUGUGCUUUCCCCUCGGGGCAAUGGAGACAGGUGGUGCAUGGUUGUCGUCAGCUCGUGUCGUGAGAUGUUGGGUUAAGUCCCGCAACGAGCGCAACCCCUAUAUUCAGUAGCCAGCAGUAAGAUGGGCACUCUGGAGAGACUGCCAGGGAUAACCUGGAGGAAGGCGGGGAUGACGUCAAAUCAUCAUGCCCCUUAUGACUUGGGCGACACACCUGCUACAAUGGCGUAAACAAAGGGAAGCGAGCUCGCGAGAGUAAGCGAAACUCAAAAAAAACGUCUCAGUUCGGACUGUAGUCUGCAACCCGACUACACGAAGCUGGAAUCGCUAGUAAUCCCAGAUCAGCAUGCUGCGGUGAAUACGUUCCCGGGUCUUGUACACACCGCCCGUCACACCAUGGGAGUCGGUAAUGCCCGAAGCCAGUGAACCAAGAGAGGGAGCUGUGGAAGGCAGGACUGAUAACUGGGGUGAAGUCGUAACAAGGUAGCCGUAUCGGAAGGUGCGGCUGGAACACCUCCUUC